GCCCCGGCUCCGGGCCGCCACACACCGGGGGUAGGGCCGGCUGUCCCCUCAGGACACUGCCCCCGGCUCUGGGCUGCCACACACCGGGGUAGGGCCGGCUGUCCCCUCCCCUCAGAGCCCUGCCCACUGCCCCGGCUCCGGGCCGCCACACACCGGGGUAGGGCCGGCUGUCCCCUCCCCUCAGAGCACUGCCCGCUGCCCUGGCUCUGGCUGCCACACACCGGGGUAGGGCCGGCUGUCCCCUCCCCUCAGAGCACUGCCCGUUCCCGCGGCUGUGGGCUGCAGCACCCCGGGAAUCCCCGGGACGUGAGGGUUAAUUCUUGGUUAAUCGUGGUCUUUGAACAGCGCUAUCUCCCUCACGAGGAGAGACUGCGGCAGUUGGGCCUGUCAAAUCUGGGGAAGGCAAAUCUGAGAGGGAAUCUCAUUAACACAUAAAGGUAUCUGAAAGUACCGAGACUUUUCCGUGGUGCCCGUGACAGGAUGUGGAGCAGUGUCCGUAAACUAUAACACAAGGAGUUCCACCUCAACACAACCUUUUGCACUGAGGGUGGCAGAGCUGCUCAGGGAGACCGUGGAGUCUCCCCCUCUGGAGACGUUCAAACCCCUUCUGGCAGCUUCUGCGUGGGAAAAGAAACACAGAAGAAAUACAAGUCCCAGAGAGGGAGUCUGCUCCUGAAGAGCAGAAACCUCUGGAGAAGAAUGACAGAGUGAAACAUCUCAUCUCAGGAUCAGCAUUCAAAUCUGGACCAGGAACCCCCUGACUGACAAGAAGUCCCUCUAAGGGGCCAAGCCAGGGAUAUCUAGCCUGCCUUCACCAGGAAAGAUUGCAAAAUGAGAGGAGAGGGUGCAUCACCAGUCUGUGAGCCUUCCCUGGGUGUUGGUUAGAUGGCCUGCCAAAAACGUCACAGGUGAGACUUACUGGCACAAGCCCUUUCACAAUCUGACAUUGUUUGGUGUUUGUAGGGUGUGAUGGCACAAUUCCUCCUGAAAACUGCACAGACACAAACUUCCUCUCUUUGCUGCAAAAUGCAUUAUCCUGGUGGCCAAAUGAACCAGCACGAACCCAGCGCAGCAGCCAGGACUGACCAGCACUGCCUUCCCCUUCCAAAAUGUCAAACGAAUUUCUGCUUCAGCAAAGGCUCCAAAGAGCAUUUCAUCACCUCCUUUUUAACAAUUCAUGAUUUCUACUUGCCUACAUGGAGAAAACCAACAACCUAGAUCCACAUAUCUGGAGAGGAUUUCACAGGAGUGGCUCUCCUUCUGUUGUGAAAAUAAAAGUAGGUCUUUAGUUUUGUGUGAUGUGGUCAGUGGCUUCUCCAGCUGCUGAAUACAUGGGCCAGUGUUUGAGAAGUGACCCUGGGAAGUGUGGACAGGGAAAGAAUUCACACAGACCUGGAAUGAAUAACCUGGUCUUUUGCAGCUCUUUGUGCCUACACAUUUUACAUGGUCCUAAGUAAAAUUCCCACCUGCAAACAGCUUUUGCACUUUGGUUAGACAAAGGGAUCUGGUGAAGCUGCACUGCUUCAUGAUUAGAUGAAGGCCUGGAGAGCAGGAAGCAGGU